rnacentral:rRNA from 1 species
GGUAGCCCGGAGUUUUCGUGGCUUCGGCUCUCUCUCCUCCCUUUGGGACCGUACCUCUGUUGCUUUGGCGGCUCCCGGCGCCAAAUGACCUGCGAUGUCCAGUCAGUAAACGCUCACGUCUGAUAAACAAGUUAAUAAACUAAAACUUUCGACAACGGAUCUCAUUCGUUCCGGAAAUGAUUAACAACGACGCAUCUCUUGG